CUUCCAAAGGCAAGGCUCUGAAUGAACGGGCGAUAUUGAUUUUAAGAUCAAAAAACACUUUUUCGGCUGGGCGAGAUGGCUCACUCCUGUAAUCCCAGCACUUUGGGAGGCGGUCGGAUCGCUUCAGCCCAGGACUUCUAGACCAGCCUGGGCAACAUGGUGAAACCCCGUCUCUACAAACAACACAAAAGAAAAAUUAGCAGGGCGUGGUGGUGCCCGCCUGUGGUCCCAGCUACUCAUGGAGGCAGAGGCGGGAGGAUCGCUUGAACCCGGGGGCUGCACUGAGCCAUGAUUGUGCCACUGCAUUCCAGCCUGAGCUACAAAGCAAGACCUUGUCUCAAAAAAAAAAAAGGUAAUAAUAAUAAUAAUACAUAUAAAUAAAUAAAUAAUUUCAAAAACAAAAAACCCUAAUUUUUCCAUUUUUAUGGUAGAAAAUUGUCCUAGUAAAUCUCUCACUUAAUAAAAGAAAUGUGUAUCAUUA
rnacentral:lncRNA from 1 species